GGCUCUGUGGCCUAAUGGACAUGGCGUCGGACUUCGAAUCCGAAGAUUGUGGGUUCGAGUCCCAUCAGAGUCA
rfam:Folsomia candida strain VT population Fcan01_Sc018, whole genome shotgun sequence.